AAACAGGUAAGCUAAAUUAAGCUUUUGGGUUCAUACCCCAACUAUGAAGGCAUUAUCCUUCCCUUUUUA
rnacentral:tRNA from 1 species